rnacentral:snoRNA from 1 species
UACUUUGUCCUAAAGUACCAAUCCAUCAUAAUAGACAGUACGUGGUUAAAUUUUAAAGGUUUUAAUUCAAUUCGUGAUCAUUGAUGGAGAGAAUAAAAUUGUCUCAAUAAGAACCCGUUCGGAUCGAUUUAUUCGUUUUGAAUAAAUUAAUGAUGAAUGGGUGUCAGAUGAUGCAGAUAUUC